rnacentral:rRNA from 1 species
CCUACGGGAGGCUGCAGUGGGGAAUAUUGGACAAUGGGCGAAAGCCUGAUCCAGCCAUGCCGCGUGUGUGAAGAAGGCCUUCGGGUUGUAAAGCACUUUCAGUGGGGAAGAAAGCCUUGGGGCUAAUACCCUCGAGGAAGGACAUCACCCACAGAAGAAGCACCGGCUAACUCCGUGCCAGCAGCCGCGGUAAUACGGAGGGUGCGAGCGUUAAUCGGAAUUACUGGGCGUAAAGCGCGCGUAGGCGGUCUGAUAAGCCGGUUGUGAAAGCCCCGGGCUCAACCUGGGAACGGCAUCCGGAACUGUCAGGCUAGAGUGCAGGAGAGGAAGGUAGAAUUCCCGGUGUAGCGGUGAAAUGCGUAGAGAUCGGGAGGAAUACCAGUGGCGAAGGCGGCCUUCUGGACUGACACUGACGCUGAGGUGCGAAAGCGUGGGUAGCAAACAGGAUUAGAUACCCGAGUCGUC